UAGCUAGUUGGUGAGGUAAAGGCUUACCAAGGCGACGAUCUGUAGCGGGUCUGAGAGGAUGAUCCGCCACACUGGAACUGAGACACGGUCCAGACUCCUACGGGAGGCAGCAGUGGGGAAUUUUGGACAAUGGGGGCAACCCUGAUCCAGCCAUGCCGCGUGAGUGAAGAAGGCCUUCGGGUUGUAAAGCUCUUUCGGCCGGGAAGAAAUCGCAUGGGCCAAUACCCUGUGUGGAUGACGGUACCGGAAUAAGAAGCACCGGCUAACUACGUGCCAGCAGCCGCGGUAAUACGUAGGGUGCGAGCGUUAAUCGGAAUUACUGGGCGUAAAGCGUGCGCAGGCGGUUUUGUAAGACAGGCGUGAAAUCCCCGGGCUUAACCUGGGAACUGCGUUUGUGACUGCAAGGCUAGAGUACGGCAGAGGGGGGUGGAAUUCCACGUGUAGCAGUGAAAUGCGUAGAGAUGUGGAGGAACACCAAUGGCGAAGGCAGCCCCCUGGGUCGAUACUGACGCUCAUGCACGAAAGCGUGGGUAGCAAACAGGAUUAGAUACCCUGGUAGUCCACGCCCUAAACUAUGUCAACUAGGUGUUGGGUGGGUAAAACCAUUUAGUACCGUAGCUAACGCGUGAAGUUGACCGCCUGGGGAGUACGGCCGCAAGGUUAAAACUCAAAGGAAUUGACGGGGACCCGCACAAGCGGUGGAUGAUGUGGAUUAAUUCGAUGCAACGCGAAAAACCUUACCUACCCUUGACAUGCCAGGAACUUGCCAGAGAUGGCUUGGUGCCCGAAAGGGAGCCUGGACACAGGUGCUGCAUGGCUGUCGUCAGCUCGUGUCGUGAGAUGUUGGGUUAAGUCCCGCAACGAGCGCAACCCUUGUCGUUAAUUGCCAUCAUUUGGUUGGGCACUUUAACGAGACUGCCGGUGACAAACCGGAGGAAGGUGGGGAUGACGUCAAGUCCUCAUGGCCCUUAUGGGUAGGGCUUCACACGUCAUACAAUGGUCGGUACAAAGGGUUGCCAAGCCGCGAGGCGGAGCCAAUCCCAGAAAGCCGAUCGUAGUCCGGAUUGCAGGCUGCAACUCGCCUGCAUGAAGUCGGAAUCGCUAGUAAUUGUGGAUCAGCAUGUCACGGUGAAUACGUUCCCGGGUCUUGUACACACCGCCCGUCACACCAUGGGAGCGGGUUCCGCCAGAAGUAGGUAGCCUAACCGCAAGGGGGGCGCUUACCACGGCGGGGUUCGUGACUGGGGUGAAGUCGUAACAAGGUAGCCGUAGGGGAACCUGCGGCUG
rnacentral:rRNA from 1 species